rnacentral:rRNA from 10 species
UGACCUCGAAUCAGGUAGGAAUACCCGCUGAACUUAAGCAUAUCAAUAAGCGGAGGA